UACGAAGGGGGCAAGCGUUGUCCGGAUUCAUUGGGCGUAAAGAGCGUGUAGGCGGCCAGGUAGGUCGGUUGUGAAAACUGGAGGCUCAACCUUCAGAGGUCGACCGAAACCAUCUGGCUAGAGUCCGGGAGAGGAGAGUGGAAUUCCUGGUGUAGCGGUGAAAUGCGCAGAUAUCAGGAAGAACACCCGUGGCGAAAGCGGCUCUCUGGAACGGUACUGACGCUGAGACGCGAAAGCGUGGGGAGCGAACAGG
rnacentral:rRNA from 1 species